rnacentral:rRNA from 1 species
UACAGAGGUCCCGAGCGUUGUUCGGAUUCACUGGGCGUAAAGGGUGCGUAGGUGGUGAGGUAAGUCGGAUGUGAAAUCUCGGAGCUCAACUCCGAAAUGGCAUUGGAAACUACCCUGCGGGAGGUUUGGAGGGGGGACUGGAAUACUUGGUGUAGCAGUGAAAUGCGUAGAUAUCAAGUGGAACACCAGUGGCGAAGGCGAGUCCCUGGACAAAACCUGACGCUGAGGCACGAAGGCCAGGGGAGCAAACGGG